rnacentral:rRNA from 1 species
CAGUAGCAAUACUGAGUGGCAAACGGGUGAGUAUAAUGUGGGAAUCUGCCUUUUGGUUCGGAAUAACACGGGGAAACUUGUGCUAAUACCGAAUAAGCCCUUACGGGGAAAGUUUUAACGCCGAAAGAUGAGCCCGCACUUGAUUAGCUAGUUGGUAAGGUAAAAGCUUACCAAGGCAACGAUCAAUAGCUGUUCUUAGAGGAAGACCAGCCACAUUGGGACUGAGACACGGCCCAGACUCCUACGGGAGGCAGCAGUGGGGAAUCUUGCACAAUGGGGGAAACCCUGAUGCAGCGAUGCCGCGUGAGUGAAGAAGGCCUUUGGGUUGUAAAACUCUUUCGUCGGGGAAGAAAAUGACUGUACCCGAAUAAGAAGGUCCGGCUAACUUCGUGCCAGCAGCCGCGGUAAUACGAAGGGACCUAGCGUAGUUCGGAAUUACUGGGCUUAAAGAGCUCGUAGGUGGUUAAAAAAGUUGAUGGUGAAAUCCCAAGGCUCAACCUUGGAACUGCCAUCAAAACUUUUUAGCUAGAGUGUGAUAGAGGUAAGUGGAAUUUCUAGUGUAGAGGUGAAAUUCGUAGAUAUUAGAAAGAACACCAAAUGCGAAGGCAACUUACUGGGUCACUACUGACACUGAGGAGCGAAAGCAUGGGUAGCGAAGAGGAUUAGAUACCCUCGUAGUCCAUGCCGUAAACGAUGUGUGCUAGACGUUGGAAAUAUAUUUUUCAGUGUCGCAGCGAAAGCAUUAAGCACACCGCCUGGGGAGUACGACCGCAAGGUUAAAACUCAAAUGAAUUGACGGGGACCCGCACAAGCAG